GAAGGCCUUUAUGAUGAUCCACUUCCACUUAAUGAAUAUGAAAAUCAAGAGGCUGGGCCUUGAAGCAUCUCAGCAAGCAUGACGUCCUCUACACCAUACCCUCUGGCCUGGGGUUCAGCAGUCUUCACCAUUCCCAUUCCCUGAACCCCUCAAAAUCAGGAAUACAGGGAAGUCAGAGGGAAUGACAGAUUCUUCCAAAUGAGAAGAAAAAAACAAGAGUAAACUAACGAUGUUCGUUUUACUAGCCCUGUCUAAGCAGGUAAAUGCACUUUUAGGAUUCUAGCUAAGGGAUUUUUUUUAAACAAUGAUAAAAUGAACAUAACAUAAAAUUUACUAUUUUAACCAUUUUUAAGUAUACAGUUCAAUGGUAUUAAGUAUAUUAAUAGUGUUGUGCAACCAUCACCAUCAUCUAUCUUCAGAACUUUCUCAUCCUCCCAAACAGAAAUACUGUACCCAUUAAAUAAUAUCUCCCCAUUCUCCUCAUACUCUUAGCUCCCCUGACAACCAACCACCUUCUCUACUUUCUGUCUCUGAACUUGACUCACAGGUACCUCAGUGGAAUCAUACAGUAUUUUUCCUUUUAUGACUGGAUUAUUUCUCUUAGCAUAAUAUCUUCAAGAUUCACGCAUGUUGUAGGAUAUGUCAGAAUUUCUUUCCUUUUUAAGGACAAAUAAUGUUCCAUUAUCUGUAUAUCCAAGGUUUGUCAUCCAUUCAUCAGUCAAUAGACAGUUGGGUUGCUUCUGCCUUUUGGCUUUUGUGAAUAAUGCUGCUAUGAAUACGGGUGUACAAAUAUUGCCUCAAGACCCUGCUUUCAAUUCUUUUGGUUAUAUACCGGGAGUAGCAUUGCUGGAUCACAAGGUCAUUCUAUUUAAAUUUUUUAGGAACUGCCAUACUGUUUUCCACAGUGGCUCCUCCAUUUUACAUCCCUAUCAAUAAUGCAUAGGGGUUCCAAAUUCUCCACAUCCUCAUCAACAUUUGUUAUUUUCCGUUGUUUU
rnacentral:lncRNA from 1 species